rnacentral:lncRNA from 1 species
GCUUCAGAAUUUGCUGGAGCCUGAAGCUGAAGUUGUCUGGCAUCGAGAAUCAAGCAGUUUUCACUUUCCGAGAUGGAGGACGGCGGAACAGACUGAUAAGAUCGUCAAGACCCUGUUGAGCAAUACCAGUCACAUUCAGUUCUCUUUUCUUUCCAUUAGAUUUUUCCAGUCUUUCUUUUAGCUUCUUUUAUUCGUACGGGGUUUCAAUGUUGUGCAACAGUAAUACAAGGAAGAACACAAAAUUAGCAAACCAGAAGGAAGUUAUAAGGGAUUUAAUAAACUAAGAGUCAUACCCUGGUGGUGAUGACAAGAAAACUGAAAAGUGUAAUCAAGUAUGAUCCGAGAACUAACAGCAAAAGCAAGUCGAAUGUCACACUGGCAACCUACAAUAAGAAGAAAGUAAGGUGUUAGAUUUCUACAGGUAAUGAGGAAAAUGAUUUGCCACAAUAAGCUCAAAG